AGCAGCCGCGGUAAUUCCAGCUCCAAUAGCGUAUAUUAAAGUUGUUGCAGUUAAAAAGCUCGUAGUUGAAUUUCGGGAUCAGUUCGCUGGUCGUGCCUUGGUAUGUACUGGUGUUACUGGUUCCUACCUUCUGACGAACCGUCAUGUCAUUAAUUUGGUGUGGCGGGGAAUCAGGACUGUUACUUUGAAAAAAUUAGAGUGUUUAAAGCAGGCUCGCGCUUGAAUACAUUAGCAUGGAAUAAUGAAAUAGGACGUUCGAUCCUAUUUUGUUGGUUUCUAGGAUUGACGUAAUGAUUAAUAGGGAUAGUUGGGGGCAUUAGUAUUCAAUUGUCAGAGGUGAAAUUCUUGGAUUUAUUGAAGACUAACUACUGCGAAAGCAUUUGCCAAGGAUGUUUUCAUUAAUCAAGAACGAAAGUUAGGGGAUCGAAGACGAUCAGAUACCGUCGUAGUCUUAACCAUAAACUAUGCCGACUAGGGAUCGGAUGAUGUAAUUUUUAAUGACUCAUUCGGCGCCUUAAC
rnacentral:sRNA from 1 species